rnacentral:rRNA from 1 species
UUAAGUGACGAUAGCCUAGGAGAUACACCUGUUCCCAUGCCGAACACAGCAGUUAAGCCCUAGAACGCCUGAAGUAGUUGGGGGUUGCCCCCUGUGAGAUAUGGUAGUCGCUUAGC